UACCAGCACCCCGAGUGGUCGGGACGAUUAUUGGGCCUAAAGCAUCCGUAGCCGGUUCUGCAAGUCCCCGUUAAAUCCAACUGCUCAACAGGUGGGCUGCGGAGGAUACUACAGAGCUAGGAGGCAGGAGAGGCAAGCGGUACUCAGUGGGUAGGGGUAAAAUCCGUUGAUCCAUUGAAGACCACCAGUGGCGAAGGCGGCUUGCCAGAAUGCGCUCGACGGUGAGGGAUGAAGCUGGGGAGCAAACCGG
rnacentral:rRNA from 1 species